AUACGUAUGUCGCAAGCGUUAUCCGGAAUUAUUGGGCGUAAAGCGAGUCUAGGCGGCUUGUUAAGUCAGAUGUGAAAAUGCGGGGCUCAACUCCGUAUUGCGUUUGAAACUGGAAGGCUAGAGUACUGGAGAGGUGGGCGGAACUACAAGUGUAGAGGUGAAAUUCGUAGAUAUUUGUAGGAAUGCCGAUAGUGAAGACAGCUCACUGGACAGAUACUGACGCUAAAGCUCGAAAGCGUGGGGAGCGAACAGGAUUAGAAACCCCGGUAGUCC
rnacentral:rRNA from 1 species